rnacentral:rRNA from 1 species
AUUGAACGCUGGCGGCAUGCUUUACACAUGCAAGUCGAACGGUAACAGGCCGCAAGGUGCUGACGAGUGGCGAACGGGUGAGUAAUGCAUCGGAACGUGCCCAGUCGUGGGGGAUAACGCAGCGAAAGCUGUGCUAAUACCGCAUACGAUCUAUGGAUGAAAGCGGGGGACCGUAAGGCCUCGCGCGAUUGGAGCGGCCGAUGUCAGAUUAGGUAGUUGGUGGGGUAAAGGCCUACCAAGCCGACGAUCUGUAGCUGGUCUGAGAGGACGACCGGCCACACUGGGACUGAGACACGGCGCAGACUCCUACGGGAGGCAGCAGUGGGGAAUUUUGGACAAUGGGCGCAAGCCUGAUCCAGCAAUGCCGCGUGCAGGAAGAAGGCCUUCGGGUUGUAAACUGCUUUUGUACGGAACGAAACGGCCUGGGUUAAUACCCUGGGCUAAUGACGGUACCGUAAGAAUAAGCACCGGCUAACUACGUGCCAGCCGCCGCGGUAAGAC